GACGAACGCUGGCGGCGUGCUUAACACAUGCAAGUCGAACGGAAAGGCCCUGCUUUUGUGGGGUGCUCGAGUGGCGAACGGGUGAGUAACACGUGAGUAACCUGCCCUUGACUUUGGGAUAACUUCAGGAAACUGGGGCUAAUACCGGAUAGGAGCUCCUGCUGCAUGGUGGGGGAUGGAAAGUUUGGGCGGUUGGGGAUGGACUCGCGGCUUAUCAGCUUGUUGGUGGGGUAGUGGCUUACCAAGGCUUUGACGGGUAGCCGGCCUGAGAGGGUGACCGGCCACAUUGGGACUGAGAUACGGCCCAGACUCCUACGGGAGGCAGCAGUGGGGAAUAUUGCACAAUGGGCGGAAGCCUGAUGCAGCAACGCCGCGUGCGGGAUGACGGCCUUCGGGUUGUAAACCGCUUUCGCCUGUGACGAAGCGUGAGUGACGGUAAUGGGUAAAGAAGCACCGGCUAACUACGUG
rnacentral:rRNA from 1 species